AGUGAACGCUGGCGGCAGGCCUAAUACAUGCAAGUCGAACGGCAGCACAGCAGAGCUUGCUCUGUGGGUGGCGAGUGGCGGACGGGUGAGGAAUACGUGGGAAUCUGCCCAGUCGUGGGGAUAACGUAGGGAAACUUACGCUAAUACCGCAUGCGCCCUUCGGGGAAAGCCGGGGACCUUCGGGCCUGGCGCGAUUGGAUGAGCCCACGUCGGAUUAGCUAGUUGGCGGGGUAAAGGCCCACCAAGGCGACGAUCCGUAGCUGGUCUGAGAGGAUGAUCAGCCACACUGGAACUGAGACACGGUCCAGACUCCUACGGGAGGCAGCAGUAGGGAAUAUUGGACAAUGGGCGCAAGCCUGAUCCAGCCAUGCCGCGUGAGUGAAGAAGGCCCUCGGG
rnacentral:rRNA from 1 species